GUAAGAAAAAUAAAAAGAGAUUUAUUCGAAAGGGUUAUAUAAGAUGCCAAGAAGUUCAUCGAAGCUGCUCGUUGUGAUGAUGAUUUUCUCAUUCUUGGCGGCGCUUUUCAUAAUCUCCCAUGCUCAACCAGGUUUCUCGUACGACACUAAUCCGGUUUACUCUCCUGUACCUGCAAAUUGUUUUAAGCCACCUUAUUGACAUCCAUGAGAGUUUCAAUUUGGUCACAUGAACUAAAAUCAAAUAAAUACAAUAAGGUGAUGUAUGGGUGAAGCUUCAUAUAUUGAGAAUAAAAAGCUUGUGCGAUCCAUGUUAUAAUAUAUGCAGUUUGUAAUAUAUACGGAUGUUGCUGGUUCUGUUCU